GGCAACCGACGCCGCCCUAGGUCAGGUGCCCAGGUAUCCGUCGGACCCUGCCCCGUCGACAGCAAGCACCAGACUAAUUGACCGGGAAUCGCUUGGUUUAGCAGAACACAACGACGCAUAGAAAAUGUGGGUUUGAUGGUGUUGUGGUACUUGAACUGGACAUCGAUGAUUGGAUGCGCCAGCAUUUUUGGUAGGCUGUACUACAACAGUGGAUUACACAACGUGAUCAAAUAAAAAAAGGAGUUACUUCCUGAAACAAAAUACCCUGCACCAACGCUACUGUCCAGUGACUUUGAUGAUGGAGGUGUGGGCAAUAUCAAAUCAAACUGUGCACUUAUGAAUGCUUCAAUUCCAAGUUUUGAAAGCAUGGAGAUGGAAACCAGACAGAUGGCCAACUUGGGGAUUCAUCAGGAGCUGGGACCAGAGAUCAGUGAAAAUCCCAUGGGAAAUCAUAUUAACCCAGAAAAGGAAACUAAUGAAACUCCAGGAUCUGAGGUUAACCAAGAGCUUGUGGAUAUAUGCCAGGGCGCAGUGGUGGAAAUUGAUAUGAGCCAAGAAAAUCAAGCUGUUCCAGAGGCAAGCUUAGAGGUUAAUGAAGAGACUAUGGGGCAUCGUAGCGCUCGUGUCAUGAUAAGUUGCUUGUGUUCAGACAUAGAAAUAAAAGUAUGAGGCAUAGGCAUAGAACAAAUUUCCUUUUCACUCUUAUAUUGGUAAUAGACAACACCCAUAUCCGCCUAUAAGGUAGUAAUCUGUGGUCAAAUUUGCCCAUAUUUUUUAUUUUCAUCGCUAACAAAAAUGGAUCUUGUGAUACCUCAGUUACCUGCUACUUUGAUGAAACCUCGUGUAUGUGUAUUUUUUACAAGAAAAUAUUUUAGUGUUCUUCUCUCAGCUCGACUUCGUAUCAGCAGAGGAGAACAUACAUUGUGGAAAUAAACUAAUUAUGGUCUCCGAUUUAAGAUAUGACUGUAUGGCAACAAAAGAUGUACACUAAACUGGCUGGACUGCAGUAUAAAAUUGUGUACAAGAAGGGGAUUGAGAAUGGGGCUGCAGAUGCUCUCUCUAGGCAACCAAGGGACACGAUUCAGUGUACUGCUAUAUCUCAGAUUACCCCAGAAUGGUUGCAGGAAGUGGUGGCUGCUUAUGCUAAUGAUCCAUAUAGCCAGGAGUUACUCACUAAGUUGAGUCUGCAAAAGGAGGUUUUGGGUCCUUUCUCGAUGCAUCCAGGGGUGAUUCGCCACAAGGGUAGGGUAUGGUUGGCUGGGAAUCUCUCUAUGCAACAGCGAGUGCUGAAGGCUUUACAUGACUCGGCUGUGGGAGGUCAUUCUGGUGUUCCUGCUACUUAUCAGAAACUGAAACGUUUUUCUAUUGGCCCGGUAUGAAGUAUUACUGCAGCCUCUCGAGGUUCCACCUCAAGCUUGGCAUACCAUUUCAUUAGAUUUUAUUGAAGGGUUACCCCAGUCAAUGCGCUUUAACUGCAUUUUAGUGGUUGUUGACAAGUUUUCAAAGUAUGGUCAUUUCUUGCCUCUGUCACAUCCAUUCACAGCAGUUAAAGUAGCUAAGCUCUUUUUGGACUCGGUUUACAAGCUUCAUGGGUUACCUGUCAAUAUAAUAUCUGACAGAGAUAGAAUUUUCACAAGUUCGUUCUGGCAGCAACUGUUUCAUCUGACCGAUACUCAGUUGUCUAUGUCUUCAGCAUAUCAUCCGCAGUGAGAUGGACAGACCGAAAGGUUAAACCAAUGUUUGGAGACAUUUCUCAGAUGUUUUGUGCAUACUUGUCCAGCUAAGUGGUCGCAUUGCUGUCUGUUGCUGAAUAUUGGUACAACACCAGUUUUUAGGAGUCUUUGGGUCAUUCGCCUUUUGAGGUGUUAUAUGGUUUUGCUCCUCACCGUUUUGGAAUUGUCCUUGAACAUGCGACUCCAAAUUUAGAGGUGGCAGACUAGGUGCGCGAUCGGGAGCUGAUGACCAGAGUGGUUAAACUUCAUCUGACUCAUGCACAAGAUCGCAUGAAGAGGCAAGCAGAUAAACAUCGUUCAGAGAGGACAUUUGCUGUUGGGGAUUGGGUUUAUCUUAAACUUCAACCUUACAUUCAGUCAUUCGUUGCAACUCGAUCCAACAACAAAUUGUAUUUCAAGUUUUUUGGGCCCUAUCAGAUUGUGGAGCGUAUUGGUGCAGUGGCUUAUCGUCUUCAGCUUCCUCCCGCCAGUGUCAUUCAUCCUGUAAUUCAUGUUUCGCAGCUGAAGUGUUCUGUUGGCCGUAAUGUGUCUCUUUCUUCACAUUUGCCUCAGGAGGAGGUGCCUGUGCAGAUUCCAUUACAGAUUUUGCAGCGGUGUAUGAUUGAGCGAGGAUGAGAUUUCAUCGCCCAAGUUCAAGUGCUAUGGUCAGACAUGUCCAAGGAGCUAGCGACAUGGGAGGACGAAGCAGCCUUGAAGGUGCGUUUUCCAGAUGCACCAGCCUGGGGACAUGCUGGUUCUCAAGCCCAGGGGAAUGUUGGCGACAAGGAGGUGUCCGAGGCAACAGGCGGGAAGACUAUAGCACAUCGCCGAUAGAUUUUUACAAAUUAUUAUCUCCAAAUUUAAAUCAUGUCAGAUAUAUACCGUUGCAACGCACGGGCCUCUAACUAGUGGCAGUAUAAGUGUGUGCGCGCGCUACUGCCAAAGCCGUCAGCAAAAAAAAAAGAAUCGGAGAAAAGAAGAACAACAAAGCACGACCGGCCAGCCUCAGUCGGCU